UUUUAAACCUGAUAGUAGUGGAAAUACUUUUUGGUGCAGAUCUCUCCGAAUUCGUGUUGACGAUAGCAAAAAGAUUGCAACGAAUAGCAGGGCUAAGC
rnacentral:sRNA from 1 species